AUUGAACGCUGGCGGCAUGCCUUACACAUGCAAGUCGAACGGUAACAGGUCUUCGGAUGCUGACGAGUGGCGAACGGGUGAGUAAUACAUCGGAACGUGCCCGAGAGUGGGGGAUAACGAAGCGAAAGCUUUGCUAAUACCGCAUACGAUCUCAGGAUGAAAGCAGGGGACCGCAAGGCCUUGCGCUCACGGAGCGGCCGAUGGCAGAUUAGGUAGGUGGGGGGAUAAAAGCUUACCAAGCCGACGAUCUGUAGCUGGUCUGAGAGGACGACCGGCCACACUGGGACUGAGACGCGGCCCAGACUGCUACGGGAGGCAGCAGUGGGGAAUUUUGGACAAUGGGCGCAGGCCUGAUCCAGCAAUGCCGCGUGCAGGAUGAAGGCCUUCGGGUUGUAAACUGCUUUUGUACGGAGCGAAAAGGCUUCCACUAAUACUGGGGGCUCAUGACGGUACCGUAAGAAUAAGCACCGGCUAACUACGUGCCAGCAGCCGCCGUAAUAC
rnacentral:rRNA from 1 species